UAUAGGUGGCUGAACAUCAACAAAAUCCGCCAUCUUCCUCGUGACGUAUUUCAUGGCCUUGACCAUCUCAAAUUACUAUCUCUUGGUUUGAAUGGGCUGACGCAGCUGAAUGCUCAUCUGUUAAGUGACGCAAAGACGCUGGAAUAUUUGUUCUUACAGCAUAACGAAAUCAAGAGAGUGCCUGAUUUCUU